rnacentral:rRNA from 1 species
ACCAGACUCCUACGGGAGGCAGCAGUGGGGAAUAUUGCACAAUGGGGGAAACCCUGAUGCAGCGACGCCGCGUGAGCGAAGAAGUAUUUCGGUAUGUAAAGCUCUAUCAGCAGGGAAGAAAAAAAUGACGGUACCUGAGUAAGAAGCACCGGCUAAAUACGUGCCAGCAGCCGCGGUAAUACGUAUGGUGCAAGCGUUAUCCGGAUUUACUGGGUGUAAAGGGAGCGUAGGCGGCGCGUUAAGUCUGAUGUGAAAGCCCGAGGCUCAACCACGGGAGUGCAUUGGAAACUGGCGGGCUGGAGUGCCGGAGAGGUAAGCGGAAUUCCUAGUGUAGCGGUGAAAUGCGUAGAUAUUAGGAGGAACACCAGUGGCGAAGGCGGCUUACUGGACGGCAACUGACGCUGAGGCUCGAAAGCGUGGGGAGCAAACAGGAUUAGAUACCCCCGUACAU